UACGUAGGGUGCGAGCGUUGUCCGGAAUUAUUGGGCGUAAAGAGCUCGUAGGCGGUUUGUCGCGUCGACUGUGAAAACCUACAGCUUAACUGUGGGCUUGCAGUCGAUACGGGCAGACUUGAGUUCGGUAGGGGAGACUGGAAUUCCUGGUGUAGCGGUGAAAUGCGCAGAUAUCAGGAGGAACACCUGUGGCGUAGGCAGCUUACUGGACCGCUACUGACGCUGAGGAGCGAAAGCGUGGGGAGCAAACAGG
rnacentral:rRNA from 1 species